GCAAAAAACUCCAACCUCCCCACGAGAGUCUUCCCUGCAAAAACCACAGCAGCAGUUUCUGUCUCGGCUGCUACAAUCCCACGGAUGGUAACACCACUCCAGGCAAAGUUUUGGCUUAAAAGCCUCGAUGAUGAUACUUUGCAGGGAGUUAUUUGGCUUGUACCUUUGUGUUUCCAUCUCCCUCCGCUGAUCUUGCUGUAACAACCCCCCCAAACUUGCUGCUUGUCAGGUCUUGUUUUAGCUACAACCCUCCUCCUUCCCCUGCUUUUAAUGUGACAUCCCAGCACCCGGCCUGUCACUUGGCUAUUGCCUCUAUCACACACUCAUACAUACGAGCCUCAGGUCUAAUUAAUGUAAUAAAAUGUGUAAAAGCACUAAAUCUGCUCAGAUGUGGCAAUUUUAUCACUUCUAUACGCUGUCACAGCACAAGUAAAACUGACAGCAAAGAAUAAAACAGUUAUGUCUCUGGCAUUUUUUACUACUUUUAAUAUGCUCUCUUUUUUUUUCCUCUUUGUUACUGGAAAUUUAAAUUAUAAUGGUAUGCUUCACUUAAAGAAAGUAUCCAUAGCAACAGGAACAUCUAAAUUAUUGCAGGCUGAUCACUUCUCUCCUGGAGUCACAUCACAUGCCUUUCAAAGACAGUCCCAGAGGUGCAGGAUUUUAAUAGAAUUUUUUUUUUAACCUUUUUUGCAAACAAACAAGCGUAUACACAGCACUUUCCCCAUCAGUACACUACCUACAGACAGAUCUAAACCGAGUCACUGCCAGCACAUUUGGCUGCCCAGAGAGGGGAGUUUCAGGCUUGCUCUUUCUGAGUCUGUGCCUCCUGGUCAUCCCAUGUGAAACAAGAAUUUCCAUGGAGUUCAGCUGAUGUAAAUUCUGUUGGAUCAGGGGAAAGCAGGAGGGGAGGGGGAGGAUCACUGAGCCUGCAGCAUCAGGAACCUGCUGGUUGGAUUCCAAGCUGGCCUCAGUCUUAUUUGUAGUUUAUCCUUUCCAAAUUCCCAGGUGACAGGACAAGGGGGAAGGACUUCAAACUGAAAGAGAGUAGCCUGAGAUUAAAUAUUAGAAAUAAAUUCUUUAUUGUGAGGGUGGGGAGGCCCUGGCACAGGUUGCCCAGAGAAGCUGUGGCUGCCCCUGGAUCCCUGGAAGUGUCCAAGGCCAGGUUGGAUGGGGCUUGGAGCAACCUGGGCUAGUGGAAGGUGUCCCUGCCCAUGGCAGGGGGGGUGAAACUGGGUGACCUUUAACUUCCCUUCCAACCCAAACCUGUCUGGGAUUCUGUGAUCCCUCAGAAAAUAACUUCAGCAGCCGCUCAGCAUUUAAAAGGCAAUGGGUGGGAAAACACCCAGGUAUUUUGCCCCCCCCAUCCCCACAUCUGAGCCUCCUCGGUGACUUUUGGGCUGAGGCAGCUACAGCUUUCUACUCUUGAAAAAUUCCAUCGUUUUAAUCAUGGAAAAAGCCUGAGCAAUGCACACACAGAGCUGUCAAAUGUGAGAAACAAACAUUCUGGGAGAAACAGAAAGGCUGGUUUUGUUUUUUUUUUAAUUCCAAUCUCAAUUAUAGGAAUCAAAUGCGUCAUCUGGAUCAAUAGUAAGUUGAAAUUGCUCAGCCAGAAAGAUUUUAAAUAUAAAAAAGCUGCAGCUGAGAGCCUUCCUUUGAGCUCAUGUAUUAUUAUAACUGAAAUUAUGAUAGUGCACCAUGUUUACAGGCUCCCUUGGAAAGCUCAGGUUAAGAACAAAGGUUUAAUCAAUGUACCCGUACGUAGUAACAGGAUCUAAAACCCAGCCCGUGUGUACUGGGAUCUUAUCAUGGCCAGGAGCAGCAGGGAUUUGCUUUUAAUGUCCUUUGAUUCCCACUGCCAUGUGGUACAUUCCCAGGUCAUCAUUCCCUGCAUUUUCCCCCAGAGGUGGCUGCGAUUCAAGCAGGAUGUGUUUGCAGAGAACAUGCAAAUUAAACUGAAACGAGGCAACCUUUGAAAAUACAAAAUAUUACUGAUCACUUAACCUUUGUAGGAUAAGAGCUGACGUGCAGACAAGUGGCUGGGCUUCAUCCAGCCCAAGGGAAAAUGUUAAAAACCAGGAAAGUGUGUCAGAGUUCUUUGGCUGGUUCGGUUUGUAAGGAAGGGUCGGGGAAGCUCCGUGUCCGUGGAGAAAGAGGGGCUCCCAAGGAAAGAGGCUGCAGGUUUUGGGCAUGGUGGCAUCAGAGAGACACCAGCAGAGGCAGUGACAGGAACCAGGUGCAUGGUCUGCCAGGGACUUUCAGAUCAACAUGUGAGUGAAAAAAAGAGUCAGAGUGAGAGAAGGUGGGUGGUUAAAGAGGGCUGAGCAUGAUGCAAAAAAUCUGUUGGACCGGCAGAUCCAGCUCACAUUUGAAAAUCACCCCCUUUAUGGCUCCCAUGAAAUCACCUUUUAAUAAAGAGGCUAUAAAAGGGACCUGUAAUUUCGUGGUUGGUGCAUGAGCCGGAAGAUGAGCCAGCUGACUUUCACAGAGCUUUAUUACAGCUGUGGUCCAGCUGGAGUCAGGGAUAUUUACUGUGUGUGAGCACAGAGAUGAUGCAGAAAUCCACAGCACUGACCUUUGGUGCCAGGCAGUGAGUCAAAGCCGUCCCUGCCCGGCCCCAGCUGCCUCCCAGCUGUUCAGCAUCAGGUCAGGCAGGAAGGUUUCCCCAUCCACAGGUGGAGCCCUUUGACUCACAGCUUCCCCACAUCCACCUUCUCACCUCUCAGAGUAAUUAAAUAAAUCCCAGAAGCCACAGCCCGAGGUCCUUGGGAGGAUCUGUCACCCAGUGGUAUGUCUGAGGAGGGGGAUGGGGCUGUGCUGCUCUGCUUGGGGUUUGCUUCUUAAAUCGGGCCAGAUUUGAUCUUCAGCAUUUUUAUUUGAGGCUUUGAUGGAUCCAUGAGUGUUUUGGGGCUGGGCAGUUGCUCAGAACUCAUCAGCAAGAUGGGAUUGUGCCUGAAAAGAGUCAGUGCUGGGCAGGCAGGAUUUUUGCUUUUAGGGGUGACAAGAGGGUUUGUUUUUCACGUGGGUUAAAGUACUGUGAUCCAGCAGACGGCUGGUGUUGUAUAUCAAGAUUAAAUUCUGGGGAAAGUCUGUCAGAAUCUGGGUCACUUGCUCCUUUGUGGUCUCCCAUUUAUAUAUCAAGCUGACCCGACUCACGUCUGCAGACUGUGAUGGGAGAACUGGGAGAGCUUCUGGUGAAGUUAUUUAAGGGCUUCAGACAGGUACGAGCACACAAGUCAUUUCACACCCCUGACAGGAGAAGCUCGGCUGCUGUGCUGGCUGUACUUCAUCGGUGCUUCCCCCUGCCCUUGAUGCUUUGUGCCUUUCCAGUUCUGCUUUUUAUGCCCUCAAAACGAGAGUGUGGUCUCUUGAGGCCGGGAUGAGACAGAGCCAGCACAGGCUGGAGUGGAUCUUCCCAGCUACAAGUUCCCUCGUCUCGUUAACCACGUUGCAUAAGGAGGUGCAACAGUGCUGAGCUCAAAAUUACCUCUCUUCCUUUCCUGCCUGACACAGCACCAGGGAGAGAGAACUGCAAACAAGUUUAAAGUAUUGCUUCCUCAGAGCAAAAUUUGGGAGAUGAGAGGCUUGGGUUUCGGCUGGCUGACCGAAAGCCCCCGGGGAGCUCGGUAUGCUGGUGCCUGUGACUGCCACAGCCGUGUGAUUCCAGCUCCAGGAUGGCCCAGGGCACCCACCCGCCUGCUUUGCAACAAGCUGUGAUUUAUGGGAUGCCUGUGGAGUGGCUGGUCCCUGUGUGAUAACGAAGGGGAGUCUGUGAUGUCCCUGCUCUGAGAGCAGGGAGCAGACUCAUCCACCCCGGGGGUCCCCUGUGUGUCCCCACACCACCUCUGCACCCCAGCUGACAAUGUGAUCCCACUUUCCAGCCCUUCCCUGGGCCGUGAUCAGCAGGUGGGGUCCGAUGGCUGCAAGCUGAUCUCACUUUAACCUGGAGGGAUGCAGGUGUGGUCCUGCUCUUGGAUUGUCACUGCUUCUCCCCUCCUGCUGCCCCUGCCAGCUUCGGUUAAAUAUCAUUGAAUCCAUCUCUUCCACGAGAUUAACUCACUCUCAGACCCUCAGGAUGAACCACACGCUGGGCUGGGACUGAUGGAGGCCAGAAUCUGGGAAACAUUCAGUCUGGAGCAAGGUGAGCUGAAUCCUAACCUGCUUCGUGCCUCACGCUGUGGCUGCAGAGCUUGAAGCAGGGAGUGAUAAAGCCUCCUUUAAAUGGUGAUUUAAAGGCUGGCUGCCCUGAUGAGCUUGAGCUUUAUCUGAUUUGGGACCUACUAUGGCCAUCUCAGGGAGGUGCUGGAGUGAUAACAUAAUGCAAUAUCUGGAAAGGUGGUUUCUGGCUGUGCAGUGAGAAUAAAUGCAGCAGAUUGUAACCAGGGAGAAAACCAUUAUCAAUAUCUUCUCUGGUUUUAUACACAUGGCUCAGAGAUGUCACUUAAUAACUUCUGUGCUGGACUCCAAACUGACGCCUGAGUUACCAGAUCUCUUUAAAACCACACACAGGCUUCCAAGUUGUUUGAAAAAAAAAAAAAUUUGUUAGAUCUGAAAGGCCUUUCCAGCCCUGGUACCAUAACUGUAUUCCCUCUCCUCCAGAGUUUGAUCCACCAGGUGCAAAAAUCCUUUCAAAGAGCAAGAAGGUGGACAGGUACCUCAAGAGAAGAGACCCUUCCAUGUAACAGGUGUUUUGCCAUCAACCAUUUGAGCAUCUGUCCCUGAAUUUUUCCUCCUCUCCAGGACAACUCUCAGCAAUGGGUGUUUGGGGGCUGAAGUUUCCCCUCCUUUAUCUCUCUAAGCUUCUGAUGACAACCCUGGGAUUUUCCAGGAUGAAAUGGAAAGAGCCCUGAGCAAGUUUGGGGGGAAAUCUCUGGAAGCAGGCCAUUAGCAAAGCAUUAAAGGCUGAGCUGGGUUUGCCUUUGGCCAAGUACACACAGGCUUCCCUGGCUCCUGCAGGCUUCCCAGCCUGGAUUUGAGAUGCUCCUGGAUGUUGCUGCUCCAUCCAUCCUGCAGGUGAGUCCCAUGUCUUCCCUCCUCCACCCCACACAGCCCAGGGGCCAUCACGGGCUCAGUGACUCGUGCCGGGGUGAUGGCUGGAAAAACCCCCUGACCAAUUGAGGCAGACACAAAGCAACAGCCUUCCAAAAUCCACCAGGUGACAUUCCCUACCAACCAGUGAGAAAAUGAGCAAUUCCAGCCUCCCUACAGUGCUAACUACUCCUACAGAGGUGCUUGGACAGGCCACGCUGAUUAACUCCAUGUCCCCUACAGCAUUCCUGGGCCUGUGCUCCCAGGAAGCUCAGCUUGUCCCAAGUGUCUCUGGCUUCCAAGAGCCCCAAAACCUGGGAGAAUAUCAGCAGCAUGAAGUGAUGGCAUUGCAGCAACCCAUCAGCAAGGCUGAUGUCCCCACAGGUCAUGUCUUCCACAUCUUAACCAAGAAACCUCUGGGGUUUUUUUCCUUUUUGAAGCUGAGACAGGAGGAUGCCACCCUGAGACAAUAAUUUCCUUACCUCUCCCUUCCCCUGUAACUACUUGAUUUCCCCCUCCCUCGCAUUUCUGAUACCUGGCAGGUAGUUUUAUAAUCCCAUAAGUGUUAUUUUUCUUCAGCUCUCAUUUUCUGUUUUGCAGCCUGGCCACCUGGUCAGAGCCUUUUCCAUCUGUAUGCAGCGUGCACGGCUGGAGCAGCCCACAGGAGACCAGGAUUAAAAACUGUGAGCUAACACAGCAGCUCGAGGCUCAGCAACACAAAUAACUCCUUUCCCAUUUUUUUUUGGGCACUUCAGCCAGGCAGAGUGUCACCCUGACAUGGAGGAGGGGGAGAAGGCACCACUCUAUACAGGGUUUGUUGGGGUCCUUGAAGAGGAACUGCUUAUCCUGGAUGAGGAUCCAAGGAAGAUUUUUCUUCUUUCACAUGGAUUAGGCAUUGCCCUCUGUGCAAGAUUAAGGUAAGAAAAGGGAAGCUGAAAUAUAGUUGGAUCUAUGGGUCCAGCUAUGAGAUUUGUCAUUCCAUGGGACCUCUUCCACAACAGAUGGGGAAUGACGAGGUGGUGAGUCUGGGCUGGGACCACCCGGAGACACCAGCAAGGAAAAGCAUUUUCCUGUUUCACAGGGCUUCAGCACCAAGAAAUUGUUUUAUUUUAUACUGAUCCAGGAAAAAUUGAGAGGCCUCUGAGGACAUUUCUGAAGUCAGCAGCAACCUGGAGGAUGAAACCUUCUUCUCCCAGCACAACAGGGGGGCUGUGCUGGUCAUCUGGCACCAGCAAAGCCCCACAGUCAGGAUACUGGAUGAUUCUGGAAAAGGGAGCUCCUCUGUCAGGAGAGUGCAGUGUCCUCUCGAGGGCUGGGAUGACGAGGCACCCACAGGCCAUGGCCUUGCAGAUGCCACGAGUCUGUGGACAAUGAAUGUGAUGAGCAGAAAGGCUUUUCUUCCCGUGUUCCCCACAUGGUGAUUAAUCUUCCCAGUGUUUGAAGGUAUUGGUUGUUAUUUUCUGGCUUGCCUUGAAAUUCACUGUUUAAAAAGCAGCAACAGUGGGAUAUAUUUAUAUGAUGAAAGAAGACUUUUUGUGUGUGUGAAAUAUGCGUUCCUGACAACGUUCUCAGAGCAAACCCAGCCCACCCCUUCAAGGAGAGCAGAGAUUAUCACACUGGGGGAGAGCAGGGAUAGCUGCUGGCACGUGAGGAUGCCUCUGGACUGCACAGAUGGUUGUCAAAUGAGUGGAAAUUCACCCUUUGGAGGUUAUUUUCCUUAAAAACUAAACCAGUCUUUAAUGACUGCUAGGAAGCCUGGCAGUUUCCAAAAGCAUUGGUCUGCUUGGCUCCUUCUGCAGCCGGAAAAUUCCUGUAUUUUCUCAAGUAGGGUCUCCUGGCACACUGUAAGCUGUUCUCAGUCCCCACUGAUGUCAGAUGGGUCUGUCACCUCCUGGGUUCUUCCCAAACAAUUCAGAUGUCUGCUAGGAAAUGUUGGACAGCCAGAUUUUAUCUCAAAAAAGAGGGGAGAUCUCUCUGUUCCAAACAACUCCAGAUGAAACCCUCCUAUAGACAGCAGGUAAUUCAGUCCCAGGAGGCCAUUGGGACCACCACAUCUUACACAAACUGCUGCUUGGGUUGACUCCAGAUGCUUUUUUGACUCUCAAAACAAAUAUUUAAGUUUGGUUUAAGAUUAUUGGGCUUUCUCAAUGCUUCUGUUUGUGGAAAACUGGGUUUGUUUCACCGAGUUCAUCACGGAUUCACCUGGAGUUCUGCUUUGCCUGAACUGCAUUUUCUGACAAGUCAAGUCUCGGGCUGAAAAUUAUUCUUAGACUUUUUUCCACUUGGGAUCUUAUUUCUGAAGCCAUCUAAAAUAGGCUGUUGCUCCACAUUCACAAGAGCAGAUUCACUGCAUUCCCGUGGCCCUCACCUUACUUAAGUAGGGGAAAAUGGAACACAGACAUUCUGAUGAUGCUGAUUUUAAUGGGGAAACAAUGUGCAGGCUGCUACAUUAGUCACCUGCUAUUACAGGAAAGUAAUAAACUAGAACUGUUUCUGCUCUUUUCUCCAUGCACCUUCUGCUAUGUUUCUGCUUUUGUACUAUUUUUUAGCUUGUUUUAUAUUUUCCCUGGCACAGAGGAGGUAAGAUUGCUGAGACCUUCACCAUAAUUAAGCAAGAUUCUUCCUCUGAUGAAAGCUCAUUCCUACACAAUUCUGGUUUAAGAGACACAGAACAGGUUGUUAUCUCAGAUGUGAGUGGCUUUUUUCCCUUUUUCUAAGAUAAAAUAUAAGCCUGGCUGAGGUGGUGGGGGUUAUAUUGUGUAAAUGUUUCCUGCUAGCAGAGAACCAUUGGAAUUCUCAGCGAGGCUUCCGUGCAUCCCUAAAUGUGAGUGUUAAUUCAGAUAAUUAAUAUCUCAUAUGCCUGAAUGUGGAGUUGAAGGAAAAGCACCCAAACCUGCAGAUAUGUGUGAUGUUGCCUCUGAAUUCUGAGGGUUUGGGGGGCUAAAUAUCCAUUUUUCUACACAUUAAGCUCAUUAAAAUUAUCACAUGAAAUUUGUCCUCCUGCACAGCACAAACUGAAUUAAAUCAGGGCAAAAUCCACUACUGGUUUAUCCGUUCUUGUGCCUUCCAGCCUGCAAACCUCCCCCUGGGCAGCACAGGAUGGUCACCAGAUGCUGAUGGGAUCAUUUGGAGGAGGAGGAGGAGAAAGGCUGCUCCAAGGAGCCAAGCCUUAAGCAUGUCUUUCUAUACCUUUACCCUUUCCUUUCCUUCCUUUUCUUUCCUUCUCCUGCCUUUAUCACCCACUUUAUACAUUAGUCUUCUCACACCAUGUGCAGGUUGGUAGAGGAAACUCUCUCUGUUGUCAAUAUAUCCACCCUGCACAGGUGGUAUUUCCAUCACCUGUUGGAUUAUUAGUACAGUUUAGCCUUUCAGUGUUUUAUUAGAAUAAUUCCUACGGAAACAAUCCUAGUAAUCCCUCAGCACAUGGUUUAAUCUAAGCAGUCAUGCUCCCCACUCCCUGUUCCUUAAGUAAGGAGCACACUCUCCCAGGUUAAACACCCCAGCAGCCCACGUUCAUGGAGCAGAUAACGAGGCUCUUAAUUAUCCAGGCUUCUCCACAGACUCAUGCCCUCUGCUUGUGUUUCUAAAACCUUAAAAUAAUCAAUACCAGACAGAUUUUUUCUGCCCUGAGUCAUUACAGGCCAUCAGGGACUGUUUUGCUCAUUCUCCCUGCUUGGAGAAGUUUGGGGGCUGUUGUUUGUAUAAUGGAUCAGCUGUUUUAAAUGUAUGGAUUUCCCCUUAUCUGAUCACAACUGCAGGGAGACUGACACAUCUAUGCCUGGAUAAUAUCAGACCUUGCUGCUUGCAGGUGGGGAACAGCUGCCUUGGGGCUGCACAGAGGAGGAAGAUGCCUCAGAAGCUUCGUCCUCCCCGAAACAUUCCCCACUGGGCCACGGAACCACAUUAACUCUGACCCUGCUGCCCUCACCACAGAGCCUCUCUUCCCAUCUCCCUGCUCUAUCCUUUCAUCGCUGUGAUGCCUAAAAAUCACCAGCUGGAGUGGUUCUGAGAGCCAGAGAGGGCUUUCUGGGGAAUAACUGGAGUGCUAUUCCAGCAUCACGAGACAUCCCAGCCUCUCCUGCAGCCACAACGGGAGCAUUUUCUGCAGUGAGAGCAAAAUAAACAUCAAGACUCUUUAAAAGAUAGUCUGGAGGGUUGAGUGCAAUUAUCGGGCCAAACUCCGUUGCCUUGAGUGUUAUCUAUCACUCUGUAGUUUUCUUCCUCAUAGAAAAGUGGAUAUUAGAUUCUGUUUUUCUUAUGGCCAUAAAAAAAAAAGUAAUUUUCUCUAAAUUAUUUCUUCCAGACCUGCUAAAAACAAGAAUCAUAAUGCAGCAGGACCCCCAUCUUCCCAGUAAUUACACUCUGCCUCCUAACUCCUUCAACACCAAUUUCUCAAUUUAUUUGGCCUCCGUCUGGAACCACAGUCACAGGCUGAGCUGGGCUCUGUCUUAUUAUUACAUGGACAAAAUUGUUUUUAAAAUGUAAUUAAACAUUUACCUUGAAGACAACGCUUUGUCUUCUUUAAGAAGCAUAAUAUCUUAAUUUAACCUAAUCUAGAAAACCUUCCAUUUCUGAGCUUUUACCUCCAAGACAAUGUUAUGCUAAACACAAAGCAAAACAAAAAGAUUUCCUAAUUUAACCUAAUUAAAAGAUAAGCCUCCAACUUCUCCAUUGCUGCUGUCUGAAAUGAGGAGGGAGGCGUAGCCCUUCCAUUUGCUCAGAACUGUUUUAUUAUCCCUCUGGUUUGUUCUCUGCUGUUGAUUUUUAUUAUCCUCCUUGAUGCCCCCAAAUCCUCUUAGGAAGCGGAGCCAUCUAACCUUUCCCAUCCUGGGGCCAUGUCUAAGAGGAUCAAGGGACCACCACCAGAAUAGUUGGAAGGGUUUGGUUUGGUGGU